GGCUGAAAUUCGCCUUCAUGAAGCUGGAAUUGCUAGUAAUGGCAGGUCAGCAUACUGCCGUGAAUACGUUCCCGGGCCUUGUACACACCGCCCGUCACACCAUGAGAGUUGGGAAUACCCGAAGCCUGUGAGCUAACUUAUAGAGGCAGCAGUCGAAGGUAGAAUCAAUGAUUGGGGUGAAGUCGUAACAAGGUACC
rnacentral:rRNA from 1 species